rnacentral:rRNA from 1 species
GAUGAACGCUGGCGGCGUGCUUAACACAUGCAAGUCGAACGGAAAGGCUCCUGCUUGCAGGGGUACUCGAGUGGCGAACGGGUGAGUAACACGUGGGUGAUCUGCCCUGCACUUCGGGAUAAGCCUGGGAAACUGGGUCUAAUACCGGAUAGGACGAUGGUUUGGAUGCCAUUGUGGAAAGUUUUUCGGUGUGGGAUGAGCUCGCGGCCUAUCAGCUUGUUGGUGGGGUAAUGGCCUACCAAGGCGUCGACGGGUAGCCGGCCUGAGAGGGUGUACGGCCACAUUGGGACUGAGAUACGGCCCAGACUCCUACGGGAGGCAGCAGUGGGGAAUAUUGCACAAUGGGCGCAAGCCGGAUGCAGCGACGCCGCGUGGGGGAUGACGGCCUUCGGGUUGUAAACUCCUUUCGCUAGGGACGAAGCGUUUUGUGACGGUACCUGGAGAAGAAGCACCGGCUAACUACGUG